rnacentral:ncRNA from 1 species
GAUCAUUACAGGCAAAGCCGGUGAAAGCCGGUGACGCAAAACUAAAGGGACUACCGGAGGCCUUGCCCCCAUGUCAGCCAGUUGCCCGC